GGAACUGAGGGCAGUUUGGCUGCAACUGUUACCCCAUCAAUCCCCAGAGCUGAUGCUGUUUAUUUAUCUGGCUAGGACAGUGUCUCCUUCUUCUCACACCACUCAAUGUGCAUCCCCCUUGAAGCUGCACACUUGGAGAUAGAGGUUGGUGUUCNCGGGACUAUUUUUCAGUCAAAGAUACAAGAAUAGCUAUUCUCCCACUCCAGAACCUCCAAACAAGCUCUCAGAAAUAAGACUCAGGCCCAGCAUGGUAGCACAGACCUGUAAUCCCAGCUUUCAGGAGGAAGAGGCAGACAGAUCUCUGAGAA
rnacentral:snRNA from 1 species